AUGUAGAUGCGUGGUGAAUCCCCCUGUGCGGUGGGGCGACCAGCCAGGUUUUCUCUUUGAGCACACACGCAGGUCUGUUGGCUGGGGCAGACUUACCGGGAGGCACCCGGCACCACAACAUACUGCAUAACCCCAUAAAGGCCUUCCAUUACGGUAGGCCUUUUAU
rnacentral:sRNA from 1 species